rnacentral:rRNA from 1 species
AUUGAACGCUGGCGGCAUGCCUUACACAUGCAAGUCGAACGGUAACAGGUCUUCGGAUGCUGACGAGUGGCGAACGGGUGAGUAAUACAUCGGAACGUGCCCGAUCGUGGGGGAUAACGCAGCGAAAGCUUUGCUAAUACCGCAUACGAUCUACGGAUGAAAGCAGGGGACCGCAAGGCCUUGCGCGGACGGAGCGGCCGAUGGCAGAUUAGGUAGUUGGUGGGAUAAAAGCUUACCAAGCCGACGAUCUGUAGCUGGUCUGAGAGGACGACCAGCCACACUGGGACUGAGACACGGCCCAGACUCCUACGGGAGGCAGCAGUGGGGAAUUUUGGACAAUGGGCGCAAGCCUGAUCCAGCCAUUCCGCGUGCAGGAUGAAGGCCUUCGGGUUGUAAACUGCUUUUGUACGGAACGAAACGGCGAGCUCUAAUACAGUUUGCUAAUGACGGUACCGUAAGAAUAAGCACCGGCUAACUACGUG